rnacentral:misc_RNA from 1 species
UCCGGUUUGUCACCGGCAGUCUCGCAUGAGUCCCCAACUGAAUGCUGGCAACAUGCGACGGGGGUUGCGCUCGUUGCGGGACUUAACCCAACAUCUCACGACACGAGCUGACGACAGCCAUGCACCACCUGUGAAGGUGUCCCGAAGGAACCCCGUGUUUCCACGGGUGGCACCUACAUGUCAAGCCCAGGUAAGGUUCUUCGCGUUGCGUCGAAUUGAACCACAUGCUCCGCUGCUUGUGCGGGUCCCCGUCAAUUCCUUUGAGUUUUAGCCUUGCGGCCGUACUCCCCAGGCGGGGCGCUUAAUGCGUUAGCUACGGCACGGAUCCCGUGGAAGGAAACCCACACCUAGCGCCCACCGUUUACGGCGUGGACUAC